CGCCAAGUCCGGGACUCCGGUGUUCACCGGGGUCUGGUGCAAAAGGGA
rnacentral:sRNA from 1 species